AACCCGGCCCUUUUCAGGGCCAUCACAUUUCCAAGAAAGAAUGAAU
rfam:Strongylocentrotus purpuratus Contig96002_fixed, whole genome shotgun sequence.